GUUCACCACUAGUUUAUGACAAAUGGACUGCACGAAGGUCGAUUGCGUUGUCAGGGUUGACCCAGGAUGACUUCCUGCCACUCUAGUUCACUGGGUUCAGGAAUGGCCGCCACGGGUGGGCGAGCAGCUGCGUCAGGAGCCAACAGGAGGAAAUACUCGUGCUGGAGGAACACCUCUCAGGAAACCAGGAAUAUGAAGAACAGGUGGCUCGAGUAUCAUAUGGAGAAGUAGGAGGGACAAGGAAACUGCAAGGGUGGCUGGGGUCCUGUUGGGGCCUGUGAUCUACAGCAGAACUCAAACUGCGGUUCUUCACGGCAGGUUGCUGCUCUCAGAGCUCGCUGAGUAGCCCAGCAUUUUCGAUGUCUCCAGGUGUGGUCUAAAAGAUGUGCACCUUCGGGGUGUGGCCCCAAGAACGACCCUAUACCUCGCUGGUGUUACCGACUGAAGCAUUGCAGGGGAUUGAGACAGCCGUGUGCGUUGCUGUUGGAAUAAGCAAAGCUGCAGAUUGGAACGUUGAAACAGCAAGCUCUUGCUGUGGGAGCAACACCUCAUUAAUGAGAGAGAGAAAGCCUGUGGGAUGUCAAAGUGUUGGGAUGGACAGUGCUUUUUUUUUAUGGACUCUUUGGUUAUUUUGCUAUUGCUUGCAUGCCUUAUG